AGGGCGGCCGGCCGCUCUGAGCAUCAAAAUGAGAUGUGUGUGGAAAUGAAGCUGACGUGUUAGUGGAAGCGCUUACUCGUAGAAAGAAGAAAACAGUGUGUGAGACAGUGGAAGUGUAUGAGAUCGUACUUCAUUAUCAUGCUCUUUGAUAUCGACAGUUCCAAGCAAGAACAUCCUUCGUGUCAAAUUUUUCGAAGUUGAGAUUUUUAUACCAUUCGACUCAGCUCGACGAGCUGAGAGGACCAUAUUAUGGUCGGAAACCUAAUCAAUAACGUGCAUGAAGUUACUUGCAUGUUACAGUUAUUUGCAUGAAGAAAGAGCUGUUUGAAGAUGCAGCAGUGCAGUGUCGAGCUCCGUCUGCCGGCUGCAGCAGUGUACUGCCGUCUGUCUGCCGGGUGCAGCAGUGUACUGCCGUCUGUCUGCCGGGUGCAGCAGUGUACUGCCGUCUGUCUGCCGGCUGCAGAGCGGGCAGAGGUCCCCCACCAGCCGCCGGCUGCUCCUCCCUGCCCAGCCAUUGGACGAGCGCCGCCACAUCGCCACUUUUUGCCGCACCACCGGCGUACCAAUGGCGCGCCGCCGUGCGCCACGUCUGCCGUCGCCGCGCACGGUCCGCCGCCGCGCCACGACUCGCCGCGCCGGCGCCACUAAUGGCCUGCCGGGUUUAUUUUGGACGCGUUUUAUUAUCUUAGGUCGUCGGCACGACACUCACCCAGCCAAAGCGACUUGUCAUGUGGAAAUAUAAUUGA